GCUUAAAGUCCCAACUGAGGUGGUACUGCCCCAAGGGUAAUUUAAUAAAGAUUAUCCCACCCUACACAAAUGUAUUGGGCUGCCAAAGAGUUUGUCCGGGUUUUUCUGUAAAAUCUUUUAGGAAAAUUCGAAUGACUAUUUUGGCCCCCACCCCCCUAUUCCCACCCACUCUUAACAUCUUUUAAUUCUUCUGGAAAAAUUAUACGUGACCAUGCCAUUUUGGAACAACAACAACAACAAAAAAUCAGUGAUCCUGUCUUCAUAUAAAAUAUGCUGAGUUUUUGGAGCAACCUUAAACUGCACACCAAAGAUUAUGAGCUCCCUAAGAACUUGGAUUACAGUCCCUGGGAGGCUGAGGACAAAACACAGCAGGUUGAUAAGCGAAUGGGAACUGAAGUAGCCACUGGGAAUGGACGAUUCUUCUGAGAGCUUGGC